rnacentral:rRNA from 1 species
CCUACGGGACGCAGCAGUAGGGAAUCUUCCACAAUGGGCGAAAGCCUGAUGGAGCAACGCCGCGUGGGUGAAGAAGGUCUUCGGAUCGUAAAACCCUGUUGUUAGAGAAGAAAGUGCGUGAGAGUAACUGUUCACGUUUCGACGGUAUCUAACCAGAAAGCCACGGCUAACUCCGUGCCAGCAGCCGCGGUAAUACGUAGGUGGCAAGCGUUAUCCGGAUUUAUUGGGCGUAAAGGGAACGCAGGCGGUUUUUUAAGUUUGAUGUGAAAUCCUUUGGCUUAACCUGGGAAGUGCAUUGAAAACUG